rnacentral:rRNA from 1 species
AGUGAACGCUGGCGGUAGGCCUAACACAUGCAAGUCGAACGGCAGCACAGUAAGAGCUUGCUCUUACGGUUGGCGAGUGGCGGACGGGUGAGGAAUACAUCGGAAUCUUCUUUUUCUGGGGUGAUAACGUAGGGAAACUUACGCUAAUACCGCAUACGACCUACGGGUUAGAGCAGGGGAUCUUCGGACCUUGCGCGAUUGAAUGAGCCGAUGUCGGAUUAGCUAGUUGGCGGGGUAAAGGCCCACCAAGGCGACGAUCCGUAGCUGGUCUGAGAGGAUGAUCAGCCACACUGGAACUGAGACACGGUCCAGACUCCUACGGGAGGCAGCAGUGGGGAAUAUUGGACAAUGGGCGAAAGCCUGAUCCAGCCAUGCCGCGUGGGUGAAGAAGGCCUUCGGGUUGUAAAGCCCUUUUGUUGGGAAAGAAAAGCAGUAGGUUAAUACCCCGCUGUUUUGACGGUACCCAAAGAAUAAGCACCGGCUAACUUCGUG